CGGACGGGUGAGUAAUGCCUGGGAAACUGCCUGAUGGAGGGGGAUAACUACUGGAAACGGUAGCUAAUACCGCAUAACGUCGCAAGACCAAAGAGGGGGACCUUCGGGCCUCUUGCCAUCGGAUGUGCCCAGAUGGGAUUAGCUAGUAGGUGGGGUAAAGGCUCACCUAGGCGACGAUCCCUAGCUGGUCUGAGAGGAUGACCAGCCACACUGGAACUGAGACACGGUCCAG
rnacentral:rRNA from 1 species